UCUCACUGUGGUUUUGAUUUGCAUUUCUCUAAUGAUUAGUGAGUUUGAGCAUUUUUUUCGUAGCCUUCUUGGCCACAUGUUAUGUCUUCUUUUGAAAAGUAUCUGUUCAUGUCCUUUGCCCACUUUUGAUGGGGUUGUUUGUUUUUUUUCUUGUAAAUUUAAGUUCCUGGCAGAUGCUGGAUAUUAGACCUUUGUCAGAUGGCUAGGUUGCAAAUAUUUUCUCCCUUUCUGUGAGCUGUUCACUCUGUUGAUAGUUUCUUUUGCCGUAAAGAAGCUCUUUAGUUUAAUUAGGUCCCAUUUGCCAAUUUUUGUUUUUCUUGCAAUUACUUUUGGCAUCUUUGUCAUGAAGAUCAUUUCCAGGUCCUACGUCCGCAAUGGUAUUUCCUAGGUUAUCGUCCAAGGUUUUAAUAUGUUUUCAUUUUAGAUUUAAGUUUUUAAUCCUGCCUUUGCCUCCCAAAGUGCUGGGAUUACAAGCGUGAGCUACCACACCCAGCGAGGAAGCCAAGUUUAACGUGUGUGCUCCACUCCUCCAACCUGGCCAAAGGGCAGUCAUCAUCACUGGCCACUACUGACCACAGCCUUUAGAAACUCCCCUUGAACGUGCUGGGCUGACCUUCCUCUGAUCACAGGCAAGGUUGUAGAUGAGCAUGAGAGUGUGGAGCAGAGUCGGCGAGCGCAAGUCGAGCCCAUCAACCUGGACAGCUGUCUCCGUGCUUUCACCGGUGAGGAAGAGCUAGGGGAAGAUGAGAUGUACUACUGUUCCAAGUGUAAGACCCACUGCUUAGCAACAAAGAAGCUGGAUCUCUGGAGGCUUCCACCCUUCCUGAUUAUUCACCUUAAGUGAUUUCAGUUUGUAAAUGAUCAGUGGAUAAAAUCACAGAAAAUUGUCAAAUUUCCUCGGGAAAGUUUUGACCUGAGUGCUUUUUUGGUACCACGAGACCCGGCUCUCUGCCAGCAUCAACCACUCACACCCCAGGGGGAUGAGCUCUCCAAGCCCAGGAUUCUGGCAAGAGA
rnacentral:lncRNA from 10 species